rnacentral:rRNA from 1 species
GAUGAACGCUGGCGGCGUGCCUAAUACAUGCAAGUCGAGCGAACAGACGAGGAGCUUGCUCCUCUGAUGUUAGCGGCGGACGGGUGAGUAACACGUGGAUAACCUACCUAUAAGGCUGGGAUAACUUCGGGAAACCGGAGCUAAUACCGGAUAACAUGUUGAACCGCAUGGUUCAACAGUGAAAGACGGUCUUGCUGUCACUUAUAGAUGGAUCCGCGCCGCAUUAGCUAGUUGGUAAGGUAACGGCUUACCAAGGCAACGAUGCGUAGCCGACCUGAGAGGGUGAUCGGCCACACUGGAACUGAGACACGGUCCAGACUCCUACGGGAGGCAGCAGUAGGGAAUCUUCCGCAAUGGGCGAAAGCCUGACGGAGCAACGCCGCGUGAGUGAAGAAGGUCUUCGGAUCGUAAAACUCUGUUAUUAGGGAAGAACAGAUGUGUAAGUAACUAUGCACGUCUUGACGGUACCUAAUCAGAAAGCCACGGCUAACUACGUG